AGAACAGACUCUUGACCUGGGAGAGAUGCCUGAUCAACCAGGGGAAACCCUAAGCCAACCCCAGGAGGCAGCCCCCACAGGCUGGGCACUGACGCUCCUGCCAUGAUGCCUGGCAUCACUCGUGUUAAAGUUAUAACAGCAUCCGCUGUGGCUCAGGCUAGAAAUGACUCCUCUCUGUAUCCAUGACAUCCAGAGACAGCAGGGUGAGGCAUUGCAUUUUCCAGAGAAGGCUGGGUUUCUAAAACUUGCUUGCAUCUGUGAUUCAAAUGUACAUCCUUUGACAACCAAAAGGCGCCUGUGUUGGACCCAGAAUCCACCUGCAGCCAGUCCUCCACUGCUGAGCCAGCCAGCCAGGGGACAAUCCAAUUGGAGACUUGGAGUCUAAACCCAGAACACAGGAGUGGAGAUACAGAAGCUCUUUGAGGGUCUUCCUGGGAUUUGGAAGUUAAGAACGGAAGGUUCAACGAGCCAACAGCUGGGGAAAACAUCAGGGAAGGCCGAAGGAAGGAGAACACACGAGACACACAUCCCAUCUUGGUCAUGGGCCUUAACUGCAUUCAGCAGUGCUGUUUGAUAAAAAACCAAAAGCAUGGUGGAAGAUGAACUUCACAGACCGCGUGGAUUUGCCGUGAGCAUUUGCAUUCUCGGGGGGCGGGACAUAAUCCCGCCAUGACCAAUCCUUAACAGGGUGUCCCUACGGUUUGAGGGAACCUGAUGGGAACUGCACAGGACUCAGCUGCACCAGGGGCAACCCAGAGAGCCAAGACUGGACAAAGCGAAAGGGGGUGAGGACAAGGGGAGGUGGGGUGCACUCAGCUGAGGGCAGAGAGCCCCCCGCCCACCUCAUUAGCUCUGCCAAUACAGACAGAAAUCUCUUUUCAUGUA